rnacentral:lncRNA from 1 species
AUAGACACUUGCAUAAAAUACCUUUACUGAAGAAUGAAAAGAAAAGCUGACUGAAUUUUUCAAACAGUCAUACUGCAAUUUUAGACAUCUAAAUUGCUUUUCUGCUUCAGGCAAUGACAAACAAGUUAAAUUUUGCAUUUGGAAGAAUAUUUGAGAAGGACUUUGCGUCUUGUUCCGUUUUUGUUUCUGCUCGAUCUUGAGAUCUGCCAAUGACAGCCAUGCAACAUUUGUUGCCUUGAUAUACAACAUGGUUGUACUGAUAACAAUGCAGUAAUUGCAGGCACCCAUGCCGGAUUGCAGCAGUGUCUGAGGAUAUUGUGGAAGAAAACUGACGCUGUUCUAGAUAGAGUCAUGUCUUUUAUUACAAAGAGGGAGACUGAAAAUCAACACUUGGACUGUAGAAAAAUACUACAAUUUUACAUGGUAAUAAGUGCCAUGAACAAAACAUAUCAGGGUAUAUGAUAAAGAGUGACAGGGGCAGAGAUGAAGGGAUCAGAAACUUGCAAAACUUGAUGGAUAGAAUAUUCAAAUCAAAGGAAAUCAGAGUCCUAGAUGCCCUAAUAAAAGGAGGAGAAAGGUGGUUUGUUUAAGAAAACGGCGAGAUUUGGACAUUUUGAACAGGAAAACAAGUGGUAGACCAGUAGGAUAUGAAGAUUUAGAGCUAAUCAGAAUGCAGAUCACAUGGACCCACAGGGAGCACUUGAAGAGUUACAGGAGAAACGUUAAAUUAUCUGAUUUGUGUACUAUGCAGAUCACUUCACCUGCUGUUUUGUGAAUGUCUGUGGUGAGGAAGCAGCG